GUUCCUGCGUUUCGGAUAUGAAGUCUCAUUCGAAGCUUUAGACAAAGGUGCUAUUGAGAUAUUGGGCCUUUAUGGUAUCUCGUACACAUUCCGACGAUUGGCCGAGCGAAUAAGUCAACUUCAAAGUGGAUUUGUUGUGCGAAGAGUGCGUUAUGACCCGUGGCCGCCUGCCUGGUGGGGGGCGGCUCCUCCGUUGUGGGUAAACGGGAAACCAACCUCUACGAACCCGAGGAAAGGCUGCACAGCAGUAGUAAGGGCGUUAAGACCGGAGCUUUUUGUAGUGCUAGCAGGAAUGCAAGUGAAUGAAUCCCAUCCCCUAGCGAGUGAAGUGCUUACGCUCCCUUAGAGAUAGAGGCGAUCAAAAGAGUCCGUUCUUCAAUUUGGAGAUCUUUAGAUUCGUAAGAUCCUGAUAUGGUGAGGUUCCGAUGUAGCAUUGGAUCAAGUACCAACUAGUAAGGAAUCCAAGUUUUUCGUACAUCAAGAGGAAUCUUUCUAUCCAGUUUCGUUCAUCAAGAGCUUAGCAAGCAUAUCAGACUAGGUAGAUAACUCACUAGGGUUUGCAAGCUAAUCACUCUUUCUUUCUCACCUUCAGUAGCAAUAGAUUGAUCUUCUUUUAGGAUUCUGCACUAUCAUGGAAGUGAGUUGAGGAAGUGAAGGUUCGACAUCGAGUGGUUGACUGGGUUGCGUAGAGAACGGAGAAUAGAGGAAAAGAGACCUACUUUCCUCACAGGAGAGUGUCGAUGCGCUCUUCCCCAGUCGUGUUGAAGAAGUUUGAGGGAAAGAUGGAUUCUGAAGGAAAUCGGCUGACCUAUCGGAUGAAGCAGACUGCUGCGAAAGUGGUGCCAUGAGUCGAGAACUCUGAGAAUUGUGCUCGUUCAGGCCCUUUAGUGCACCUAAGUGCGAAGCCCUUUCACGAGGAUCUUUCAUUCCCUUCUCUUUGUAGCUAUGUCGGACAAGAGAUCAAAAGGGUCAAAGCGGAUUUUGAUUUAAUGGCAUCCAUCUGUGUAUGGAAAAACCUUGAGUGGAAAGAAAUGUGGUCCCUAGAAAAAGAAGAAAGGGGUGCUCGACUCUACUAUCUUGAAGCUUACAAGAGAAAUUCAUUCGAUGAAAGGAAGAGAACUAGAAAAUAGGUUGGCUUGAAAAAGAAGGGGAAAGAAAUGGCUCUCUCUUGCUUCAUAUGGAUUCAGAACUAAGAAGAAAGAAAGUAGAAGCUGCUUAGCGCUAAGGGCUUGGGGGGAAGUUAAUGACUUUGUUGAUUCCGAAAGAAGUCAUGAAAGAAAGAUGAGAGUAGAGGAGAAAGCUCAUAUCCCCUUCUACUCUUUUUUCCUAGCUAGUCUAGCUACUCCGUAUGCGCUGAAGCAAGCCCCACGCAUCUUUGUAAGCAAAGCGAAAGGUGCAAGAGAAAGUGUGACCUUCGUCAUAGAAUUCCUCUUUCAUUGCGGGUGAUACCUAUUUGCAAUUAUGGUUGGCUGCUUAAGGUACAAGAAUUUGGUUCAAGGAUGGUGCUGUGAAGGAUCAGAAUAAGUCCUGGUCAAUGAGUACUUACCCAAGGCUAGCCUGGACAAACUCCUUCACAAGAACACCUGUUCUGCGGUUUUCCUAUCCUGGAAGCUAAGGUUUUUGUAGAUUGAGAUAGAUUUAUUUUCGCUAUCGUGCCUCUUCCUUGUACCGGUUGAUGCUGCGGAGGAACCCAACCCCUAUUCGAUAAAGUCGAUAAAGAAGGGAACGGUGCAAAUAAAGCUAUUUCGAGUCCUCUAUCAACAACCAACCAAACCACCCGCUUGUCGUAAGCUUCAUGUCCGAGACUCGGAAAGAAGAGUGACGUUAAAGAGGGCGUCAGAGCCUCUCGAAGUCUCUGAUCUCACAGAUGGUUAGGCUGCAACUCCUUCGCUUGUGAAGAAGCUUGGCUAGUUCUCCUUACUCGGACAUUCUAUUCAUUCGACCACCGCCCAUGCUUCAAGAUUGAAGUUUUGUUUUGACUCUGUAAAAAAAAAGAACGUUGUAACGUCGGUUAACGGAGCCUCACAGGCAGCCAAAUAAGUUCUUGACCCCUUUACCUAUCUUGGGUGAGCUACAUCCAUACAUAGUCUAAGCCUCUGAUUGACUGUACUAGAUACGGAAUUUUAGUCCCAAGAGUUCUGCAGAAGCGGGCUAAAGGCAAUAGUUUGCUAGGGUGGCUAUCCCAAUUCUUUGAUAAGAUCGCUACCGAACGCCCCCGAAAGCCUAGUCUUUAGAAGGAACGAACGGAUUUCUUAGUUCGUUCGUGCAAUGAAUAAUCUUAUCUGAAGAAGGUAAUACGGAAAGAAAAAACUCAACCUGAUGCUACUGGAAUAGAGAAGCAAGCAAAGUGGGUCGGGCUGGCCUGGGACUCAAUUGAAAAAAGCGGUAUUUCUUCCUAAAGACUAACUAACGGGACGCACUCAAUUUCUACCUUCCCCGAGCUUACCACCACCCGUGGGACAAGAGAAUGAAAACAGAGGAAUGACCAAGGGAAUUUUCUAUUAACCAACGGGAGAUCCUCCUUUUCUCGCUAAUCUAGGUCUCAGGGUUCCCCAGCACAGACUUCUUGUUAGUUUAAACUAAUAAAAUGGGAGUGAAGCUAUGCCGUUAAACAAGACAAACCAAUCGCAGAUGUACUAUCACGCGAGGAAGGCCCCCCAUUAUUGUUGAAAAACGACUAUUCUAUAAUAUAAUAAGCGAAAUGUAUCUGGUCUGGAGAAUCCAUUGGAAGCGCCUGUGGGAGCUCGACUUCCAGGUAUACUUCAAAGUCCUAGGGAUGCAAAGAAGGGGUUGUUUAGAUAAUAGUAAGAGUUCGAGCAGGUAGCUGAGCGAACAAACUAACUAAUAUAGCGAGUCUAUUAUAUAGAGCUGAGCGGUAAGCAAGAAGAGUAUAUUGACCUUACAGGCAUUUCUUUAUAGUUCUAUACGUGGUUCCAGCAAGGGAGUCACAUUCAUGGACGAGGGACUGAAAGGAAGAGACAGCUAUAAUACAGAAUAGAUUCCCACUAGCAGCUAAUCCAAUAGGCACAAUACCCGAUCGUGGAACAGAUUUGCUCGCUUGGUCGGCUUCCCCGAAAAGGAAACUUGACUUUCCAUAACUGAACCUGAAAGCGCUGCUAUGACUGCUGCACAGGUUUUCUCCAUAGCUGUGAAUUUUUUUUAUGCAUUAUUAUCAUUGAACAACUUAACUAAAUGAAAUGAGUCCAAAGCUCUCUUCUUCUUAUCAUCAUCAUGCUGUGCAAGCACGGCUCCAACAGAAUCCUUGUAGCAACAUAGAGGAGGACGGCCUACACUAUUAGAGGAGAGUAACUGUAAAGACACAACUUCCACCCUGUUGGCUGUAGUUUUAGCUUGUAUAUGUGAAAAAAGGAGAUUUUCUUUCAUAGAAUAACUCUUUCACUCGGUAAGUUCCGUUGGACCACUACGCGCCUUUUCAGUCGAGUUACUAAAGUACCUCUCGCAACAAGUGCUCGAGUCAUGACUUCGCCCUCUCCUUUCAGUUGAGUUGCUAAAGCACCUCUCCUUUGCUGUUCGAGUAAACAAGAAAUGCUCGAGUUACUAAAUACCUAAGGGGGCCCUCUCUGAUAAGGAAAGAAACGAAAGAAUCUCAAAUUGAUGAAAAAUCUGGUUCGAUGGCUGUUCUCCACAAACCACAAGGAUAUAGGGACUCUCUAUUUCAUUUUCGGUGCCAUUGCUGGAGUGAUGGGCACAUGCUUCUCAGUACUAAUUCGUAUGGAAUUAGCACGACCCGGCGAUCAAAUUCUUGGUGGGAAUCAUCAACUUUAUAAUGUUUUAAUAACAGCUCAUGCUUUUUUAAUGAUCUUUUUUAUGGUUAUGCCGGCGAUGAUAGGUGGAUUUGGUAAUUGGUUUGUUCCGAUUCUGAUAGGUGCACCUGACAUGGCAUUUCCACGAUUGAAUAAUAUUUUGUUCUAGUUGUUGCCACCAAGUCUCUUUCUCCUAUUAAGCUCAGCCUUAGUAGAAGUAGGUAGCGGCACUGGGUGGACGGUCUAUCCGCCCUUAAGUGGUAUUACCAGUCAUUCUGGAGGAGCAGUUGAUUUAGCAAUUUUUAGUCUUCAUCUAUCUGGUGUUUCAUCCAUUUUAGGUUCUAUCAAUUUUAUAACAACUAUCUUCAACAUGCGUGGACCUGGAAUGACUAUGCAGACCUCUCAAUGCCCACUGCUGCCUACUCCACCAACUACUCCCGCGUUCUCACCACUGUUCCCACCAACAAUCCCUGGAUCCUUGACUCCGGUGUGUGCUCCACACAUCACAUAACCUCGGAUCUGGCAAAUCUGUCCCUUCAUCAGCAGUAUAAUGGGGGAGAGGAAGUCCUCAUAGGCGAUGGCUCUGGUCUGCCCAUUGUCAACACUGGUUCCAUCUCUUUACCCUCCAUCUCUCGCUCUCUUUAACUCACAAAUGUUCUUAAUGUUCCUCAAAUACAUAAGAACUUGAUCUCUGUUCAUCGCCUGCCAAUAAUGUAUCUGUGAAUUAUUUCCCUCUUCCUUCAGGUGUGUGCUAAAGAUCUUCAUUCGGGGUUACUCCUUGACUUAUAGGCGUGCCCCAGCAUUACCAGAUAUAGUAUUUAGACAAGCAAUUAUUUGAGCCGGCGUAUGAGGGGUUCCUCCAGCUUCGCUGAAGAAGCUUGGUUCCUCCGCUCCCAUACCUUUAGCAACACACACAGAGGGAAGCAAUAACUCGACUGUAAGGAGAGGGAUUUCUUACUCGGAGAGGGAUUUCUUACUCGACUAAAAGGAGAGGGAAUCCCGGUAGCUCAGAGGUCUUUCUUCGCUUCCUACAAGUCAAGCACAUCCAUUAACAGCAAUACCACUUCGCACACCUUCCUACCUAUCAUACCGAGUACUUCCUAUCCGAACAAAACAAGUAAGAAUAACUCGAGCGAAAGAGAGAGAUAUUCUAUACAAACGGGAAGCACUGCUAGCCCGCUCACUCGUAAGCUUUCCUCGUGAGCUACAAGCUGCACCGGUUACAAGAAGGAUCUUAACAACUAGAUCCAGACACAACGAAUACAUCUAGUACACUUCUUCCCUUAUUCCGGAUAACUACAAAGAUAUUGACUCCAGUAUGCCAGCUACACCUUCGACACAGGAAGCAAGAAGCAGGAACUAGUAAAGACCGACGGAUCCUUCUAGCGACAUCUUCCCGGUACUAACAACAAAGAUUUUCUCUCUAGGAAACGCGCCCGGAAGCUGCACUUGUAGCCUUAUAGCUCAUUAUGGGCCUACCCAGACCUAUUACAAGCGGGAAAAUGGGCUUAGAGCGGGGCCUUAGAUGCGUGUUGAGGACCGUGCUCUAAUCUAUUCUAGCCUCAGUGAGAUAGCCCGACCACUUCCUGUGCUGUAGUGAUGCCUGACUAGAAAACAAGGAUUCUCGGCCAAGCCAAGUAAUAGCAUAAUAUAUAGAUAUAGAUCGAUUCUAUAUCUGUUUUCGAAGCCAUCCUUCUUUCCCUUGUCUCCCUUGUCCUUGUCUGCCUUUCAGCGAAGCGCUAGCGGAGACUGGAAAGAGCAAUCCCUAGCUCCGGAUGUUCAGUUAUCUACCUUCCGUCCCCUACAAAGUAUUUCUUAAUUGGCCUUUACCUGCCCUGCCCGUACUAUUACUAAAUUGAGCACCAGAACCGAACUCAGGCUCGUUCCAUUAUAAAUAUCUCCUAAAGCUUGAAAGAAAUGCGGAUUAGCACAGGCAGGAAGUCUUUUUUUGUUGUCAAAGGGAAGUCUUAACAACAAAAAAAUACGGGGUUUUUUUUAUGUGUAUCAAUUCUAAUGCCACUUUAGGGCGGAAAUUGACUUUCAUUCAAAAGGGGAAAAUGAAAUGGAAAUAGAUAGCUUAGACAGCCGGUCAAAGGUUUACAGGGGAGUCCGCCUUAGGUCUCAGUCUAUGUUGCAUUUCAUACACCCGAGUCAGGGAUUUUUUUUCCUACGGUUAACUCUCUCUGGUUGAAAGAGUCACUCCGAGGAACGCCUUAGGUCUCAGUCUAUUCUGCCUUAGGUGUAAGUAGAUUCGUAGAAGUAGAUUAGGAGCAUUUUCAUGCAGCUUAUUUCAGUCUAUUCCCCCUGCAUUUUUACGAGAAGAAAGACGGAAGAAUGUAAUGGGCUUCUGCAAGGGAAUCAGAAUAGGUGACAAAUGCCACAGAAGGAACACAGAAUAGGCAUCGAGCAUAAAAGAGGUCGCAAGCACAUUCAUUGAUGCAUCGAAUGCUAGUGGUUUUGCCUUAUCCACGGUUAUAGAAUCCUCUGUCGGCGUAAAGGCUCUUUUCUCUUUUUGAACAAAAAUUGACCAGACUGCCUAAUCUACAGGAGCGAAGCCCAUUGAGAUUCCCAGAUCGAGUUAUGUCCCUGGAAAUAGGAAUAGAAUCAUACAAAAGAGCUGUUAGCAGGGCUUGCUCACGAGUAGGCAGAAGAGAAUCGCUUGGCUUGGGAAAUAAGGGUGGCUUGUUCACGAAUGCCCUGUUAGAAGGAAUCAUUGGACAAAAAGAGGGGUAAUCUAAGAGGAAAUGAAUCAUCAUAGGUUGUUCAAGAAUAAGGGACUGAUGACUUUCCUGUUGAUGCAAGUAACUGUGAACUGCCUUAAGAUAUGAAUGAUAGCCCGCAACAGGCGGGGCAAAACUUGAGAUUCGAUAUUAGCUGAUGCAGAUGAACUAGAAGGGGUUCCUCCGAGUAGGCUCUUUGAUGGAAUAGUAGAUGUCGGCAUUUCCGCUCCUAAAGGAAUGAAGCUCGCCACAAAAAAGAAAUUUCGGCACAUUCAUCAAGCUUAGGAAAUCCGUCCUUCAAAGAUCCAAGCAGGGGAUUCUCAAGCAGUACACACACGAGGAAGCAGUCCCGUCCUCAUGAUAAUACUGCUUUAUGGGAUAAAACAGAGGGCGAAGCGUAGCGAGCAAAUGAAAGAAAGAAAUUGGUUCUCGUUGUUGAUUCCGUAUGGGUCAAAGAGUUCCUAAUUGGUUAGUUGCUUCAGCCAAGGCAGCAAUACGGUGCUAAUUCAGAGGUUUCCCUCUUCUAAUAAGAUAAGCUAACUAAGCAAAGAUUCAAGGUACGAAGUGACAACCUUGGGCAUUGCACGAAUCCCCUCUUUCGGAAUAGAAUAGAGCGGGCAAAGCCCUAUUUCUUCUUUCAUUCUCGGCUUUUAGUGAACCAGGAAAAGAGAUAAUGAAUUAGGUAGGGUGGUCCCAUCAGAAUGGGCUUGGACCUUUUUCUUUGGAGGAACCUAGCUUCUUCAGCAAAGCUGGAGGAACCCCCUGACCGAUAGUUUGAGUUUGUGGAACAAGUUGUAGAGAUCCCAUACUUUCUAGUACUUGUGGAGAAUCCCAGAAAGAAAUAGCUUGAGUUGUUGGUGGAAGUGACCUAGACAUAUUUUGAUUUAUAGGAGGAACCCCUUUUCUUCCGCUAGGUAAGUUGGGAAGUCCAACAUAAGGCAGGUCAAUUACAUCGAACCUCAAUUCCAUCAAGCCUUGCUCGAGGAACGCCUAUGGUUGAUAGUGAACAGCAGAUAUGCUACAUCCAGCACUCACUUUCUGUCUAUUGGCCUUAGAACACUCCUUCCUAUGUUGUUUUCAAUGAAGGGGAAGUGAUUCCUGAGUUCCUUCGCACAGGGUUUGAAUUGAAUUCAGUCAGUUUUGUCUACAUCUUCUCUGCAAUUACACCAGGAAAGAAAGCAGAUACUGAUGCUGAAUGCACUUAACAAAUCCCAUGUCUGAAUGCCUUAAACUUCGAUUCAAAAGAAAGCAGAACUAGACUGCCAACGAUCUGAUCUGACGAUAGAGAGUCUUCACCUUGUGGACCUGCUUUCGCCUAAUGGUAAUCUUUGUAUUUCCUUCUGUCUUUCGGGGAUGUGAUUGGGAAAAGAGCCAUUGGAAGGUGACUAAAAGACCAGAAACAGGGGCUACCCGAGCUAAUGAUGAGGCAAGAACACUUUCCGGCCAGGCCUGACUAUAACCAACCUUACAGAUCCCACUCAACCUUUUACACCGAUGUAUCGUACUCUCUCGACCAGGUCAUCAUAAGAAAAUACUGCUAAAUCUUUCCAAAGUUAUAGAAGGAGGGAAGGCGCGCUACAACUAAAUAACAGCCAGCUGAAAAAUGCUAGCUAGUUAGGCUAGCACGCAAUGGCUUUCUCUGCUCUGAUAGGGGCUUGCUUCUUCAAGCUCUGCCCAACCUAUACAAGGUGCUGCUCGCUUUCUCUCAGCCACUAGUGGCUUAUGUGGUGGUCGACAUUCUACGCGCUCCUCCUUGCCCCCUACUUCAGAAUCCAAAGGUCAACUUUGGAUGUUGUCGUGACGCUUUGGUUACGAAGGUUACCGGGGUCUAGGUUUAUGGAUGGAGUCAGUCAGCGAAAGUCCUCAAUCAAUAUCAACAAGAUGUCGUGACCGCUUAGACUUGGUGGAUUUUGUCAGAAAAGAAUGUUGGUUUCGGGGGUUCAUUGAUUAGUACACCUCUGGUGCUGGUAAGGUCGGAACCGUGGUCGUCCGUCUCCGGUUUGCCGGCCGAUAAGAUCUCUGAGAUUGAUCAGCCAGCUGGGUUGGUUUGGUUAUUCCUUUCUAUUGGAAAGGAGUCAGCUGUCUGCGCGAGUCACCUUCUUUUAGGCUCCGCUGAACGACACGGCAUUCUCGUUCAAAUAUAGGCCGGCCGUACUUGUGAUGGUUCCCAAGGAUCCAAUAUGACCACUUAGGUCUACGUUGCCGCGAUAUUUUUCUAUGGAAGCGGGCGGGCUGUUAGAAGUUCGGCCCGGGUUUUUUGGUGUCGUAGGGGAGGGAUUGACCUUUCUAACGUAUAUUCAGUCGUACCGGCAUGGCCCCACUGAUUUGUUUUCGAUCGGAGCAUCAAGCAGCGCAACCCGGUUCUACUUGACUAAGCCCCGUGCUUGUCCAAGGAGGGAGUUUGCUUUACCCAACUUCCUUUUUGAUAACAAGGCAGAAACCUCCGACCCGACAUUCAAAAGUUUCGAAUGAAGAAUGAAGAGUGUCCUGCCCCAGCAAGCACCUACAAAAUUCUAAAUAAAAAAGCGUGACUUUACUAAAUAAGCAAGAAAAGCCCUUUCACACUUCUUAGUAAAGCCUAAGCGCCCUUGUUGCUAAAGGUAAGGUCGGCUUUCUUCGCAUGCUUGAGCGCAUUACGCAUUAAUAUAAUACAUAUAUAUCAACCUUUCCUUGAGUUUUCAAUAAGGGGCAUCUAUAGUAAAGGGCCUUUUCAAUAAGACUCGCGCUAGGCGAUCACGUUUUUUGUCUUCCCAAAAAUCGAAUAUUUUUGAGUUGGUAAAGACCCAGCCCUAGUUUCAGUCAGAAUGAGUCCCCGGGACCCCGGGACAUUGGCUUCCGCCAACAGUAGACUAUUAAGGACCGCAUCCCACGCAUAUUCUACAUUAUAGCCUGCAACUGAUUCAGCUUCCGCUUCUGGGAGAUCACACGGAGCUCGAUUAGUUUCUGCUAGACGAGAAAUAAGGAACAUAACCAAUACAGGGAACAGGGGAAUACCAGACCAUAUCUGCUUUUGCGCUAUGACAAUCUCACUCGAAUUACGGGGACCUACACAUAUUAGUACAGUAUACCGGGUGUCCCCGGCCAGAACCACACGUGCAAGUUUCCCUGCAUGUGGCUCGUCCGUGCUUUUCGAGGCGCUGUCUGUGACUCAGCAUGAGAGAAGGGGGCGGAACUGCACACUCUCGUGUUCAGAGCAUUGUCCGAGUGAGUAGGCAGCGCCUACCAAGCAAAGCUUUGUUGAAGAGGCUGGGCUGCUUCCUUUUCGGCGCCCGCCUUUAUUCAUCUAUACUAAAGCCACACACGACCCAAUAGGAACGAUUUCAGCGCCCCUCUCUAGACAAGUGCUCGAGUCAUGCUUACGCCCUCUCCUUUCAGUCGAGUGACUUCGCCCCUCUCUAGAUAAGAAGCAAAACGCGCCAUCACCUACAGCCCUUUCCUCUGAAAUGAAAACGGGCGGCAUCAUUGUAUGCUCGACAUUUGUUGCCCUGGUUUAUAUCCCGGAGUACUCCUAUGGCCGAUCUGUCACCCAACCUACUUAAACAACCUAAAGGAGGAACCUAGCUUUUUCAGCGAAGCUGGAGGAACCCCUGUCCUGCUUUUAGAAUGACCCUUAUGGCACAGCUUAGUCAGUUAUUCUCGCAGUUCAGAUAAGAUUCGGACCGCCACUUCUCUGAAAGCAUGGUGCUUGCCUCCUCCCUCCUUGGCGCUCAUCCAUUCGUUGGGUGAUCCCUUGCUCUCACGUUCGAGUGUUUUCUCGUCGUUUAGGCCGGUGAGUGAGAUUUCUGCUCAUUGCAGUCACCUCCGGGGUUCUUUGCACCUGGGAUAGUACCAGGACCCUUGUGCCCCGGCUCUUGAUCAGAUAAAGCUGCCCGCCCGAAGCCCGACCUAUGACCCACAACUCAAAAUGAGCCUUACGACGAGACGCGGACAUUACCCAUGCUGCGGUUCCCUCCGGUCCGUUCCCGGGUUGGGUUAGGGGAACAUCAUAAGAGACCAAUAGAGACUUCAUAAUAAGAAUAAGACCAAUAGAGACUUCAUAAGAGACGCACAAUAAGAAUAAGACCAAUAGAGACUUCAUAAGAGACCAUCCUAGAAAGGCAUAUUUCGAAUAUAGAGGAGUUCAAGUUACCAACAAUCAACGAGUUGAUCAUACCCUUCUAUGAACCGUACAAGCACGUCCUCUCUCACACCCCACCGUGCUUACGGCUCUAUACCCCAACCCUACUGGCUGUGGACCUCCCCCUCGGUCCUCCCUUUCUAUUCCUCGGUAAGCAGGCCGUGGGAGCAUGGCGGGGGGCGCUAUCCCCUUUUGACUGAUAGAAAGCAUCUCUCUUUUGUCUCUCCUGACCGAACCCGCCAAAAAAAUCACAAUAGAAUAAGUUGUUCUUGCCGGGAGAGUAGCGUCUGAGACAUCUUUAUCUGAGGCGUUCCUCGGCGCGGAAGUUACCGUUUAUAGAAUGCAAGCAAGGUAGCUUGCCUGCCAAGCCGAUAGGCGAAAGGGCGAACUGAUCGACUUGCAUGUGUUAAGCAUAUAGCUAGCGUUCCUUAGUCUCAAUCACAGACCUUUUUUCCAUUUUAGGUGAACGAAGGUUACCGGCUCUACGACCUUGCAAGGCACUACAGUAGAGCUCGAGGAACGCCUGCCACUUUCUCAAUCGAAAAUGUCAACUGUGAAGAUUCUCACGUUUCUUUAUGUAAGUUCAGGAUUUCUUUUCGUUGAUCGGAUCGAGCACAUAGUAAGAAACCCUAAGUCAAUUCAUUCUCUUUGGCUGAUGUCAAUCUUCAUCAAGACAGCUGACCGAGUCGAAACCUACUGCUCAAGUCUGAUGAAUGCCCCGUUCAUGAGCUGGUAAAGUCGAGAUCAAUCAAGGGGAUCGGAGACUGGACGUCUAUUUCACUAUCCCGCUUUUGUCUAAGAAAGUCAGAUGCCUAUGCGGGAUCAUUAUGAACAGGUUACAAGGCGUUCCUCGUAGCUAUCAGAGGCAAAGGUGGUGACCCACCAUAUUUUUGACAGCUGUCUCGGUUGUUUGAGUUUUUAGAUUGUGGAACAGGGCCCACAUUUACAUAUUUUAGGUGACCUAGCCCUACAGUUGGCACUACGAAGUCGAGAGCUGCAGAUCGACCUCUGCCCGCUGCCCUUACCUACUCAAAUCCCAAAACGAAAAGAAUAGGCUUAAGCAUCUGGCUUACCGGUAAUCUCCCAUUCCCAACAUCGAGAGACUUUAAUAACUAUAGCAUGCUAGAAAAGGGGAGUUUAGGUGCUUAGACCUAUAGCCCGAAAUCUUCAACUUCUUAUAAGCCGACAUAACAUAUUCAACCACGGAUUAAGUCGACAUAACAUCUUCACGUUCAGUCAGGGUUUUCCAAUUGGAUUACCUUGCCGGAAUUGGAUAGAAAUAGGGCUAGACGCGCCGGAGGAACCCCUUCUGCUCGAGCUCGCCGUAGGAAACUUUCCCCAAGGUUUCAAGAUCCAUCUUUCAGGUUCCUUUCAAGCUGUAAGGCUCGCUCUGUUCUCAAGGCUUGGUAGCUCUUCACAAAGUCCUCCUUUUUCCACGAGUUGGAACCGUGCCGACACAUUUUCAUAUCGUCCCCCAGUAAUAGAGUGGUAGGUUUCUUCCCUUUCUAUUCUGUAUGACGCCUGAAUCCUUCAGCUACAUCUAAAGAAUCCCAACCAUUACACUAGAAGAAGAUAGGCAACUACCUUGACCAACCAAAACAAAUGAAGAAAGGAAGGGACGAAAGUGACUCGAGCAAAGCGAGAGGGAUGAAAUGAAUAAAGGGUUAUCUUGGAUUCCGACUUGGAAGCUUGAAUAGUGAUAGAUAAGACAACGCAACUAGAUUUCACGUCUUUUCUUGAGAGUGCCUUUCCAUCGCAAGUAACUGAGCUAUCUAGGGUUCAAAACCUGGGGAAGUCACUUCAACAGAAGCCUUACCAAAGUCAAGAGAUUGGGCUCUUAUAGCUAUAGUUGGAGCUUUUACAAACAGGUUUAGAGUAGGCAAUUCCUAGUUCAAGUUUCAGCUUCAUAGCUAUAUAUUUCCUUUCUUAACUGGGUUUUUGAACUUCACAUAUAGCCCAUCAGCUUGUGACUUCGCACUCUCAGUUUUGAGAUUGGGAAUCAACAGAACUGCCCUUUCUUAACUUAAUUAUAAAGGGUAGCUUAGCUGGUUAGAUUUACUGAAGGUAAUUCAAUCGCUGAACGUUGAUAAUAGCUUUCGAGAAGAGAUCCUGACUCUCCAGCUAGUUCAAACUUCCCCGAUUAGUAAUGCUCUCACCCUGGGGACAUAUCUCACCUUUGUCAGCAAAACAGUAGAACCAUCUUCAUUUCUCAGUCUCACACUUCCUAUUCCCUUCACUGUUGACAUGGUGUCAUUUGCCAUCUUUACUUUUCCACUACCAGCAUCUGAUAAACUCACAAACCAUUCUCUUCUUCCGAAAGAACAACCUGUGUCAAGUAUCCAGACUUCCCUUUGUUAGGAAUCCCUAAUUGAAAGUGAGAAGGGACCUACACUAGUAUAUAAAGCUUUCACCCUCUCCACUCAUUGCCAAUUGGUUUUGAGUUGGAAGCCCAUGAACACUCGCAUGGUAUCAAGAGCCAUGGAGGGUUCUCUUGAGUCUUAUCCUUUUCCUUCCAAUAUCAAUAUUACUAGUUGAGUCUCCAUUAAACUCAACGAUCGGAACUAUCUUCUAUACGACGAAGGAAGGGUGCGAUUGAGUCCGCUGAACUUGGGCGAGAGAUGUGACUUUGAGGAACGCCAAAGCUCUGGUGUCUACGAGAAGCUUCAUGAGUCAAACAAUUGAGGAAGCCGAUGCUUAUACUUGGGUAGAGAAUCUCGCACAAAGCAAUGGGAGUCAUGGCUCGGAUUAUGAUCGGACUACAAGGAAAAAUAAUGAUGAAUCUCAUCAUGCCAUCCAAGAGCUGAAUGCAAAAAUGGAUAAGAUAUUGAAGCGUGACCAAAAUAAAAGAUGACGGUAAACUCUUGUGAAGAGUAUGGUGGAUAUCAAGGGUACCAAGACUUUUGUGUUGAAGGGUAUGAGGAGCCACAAGAAGAGUAGACGUGGCAGGCAUUGAUCGGUUCAUUGGGACCGGGCUAGCAAAGGUGCGAAUCCUUUUACGCCACACCAUGUCACAUCUGCCUUCAUAGCUCAACGGAUAGAGCGCUCACCCGCUAAGUUAGGGGUUCUUGGGAAUAAGUCUGCCUUUGUUUUUUACACGUCAACAUCCCCUGAUUGAUAAAGGGAGUGAGCACUUCACUGAAGUAUGUGGAAGUGGUGGGAUAUCGCGAAUCGAGAUGUAGAUGAAGUCGUCUUUGAGUCAUGUAGAAUGCGAUACUUUAACGACACGAGACCCUGAAAAGGGAUUCAGUAGGCGUGGAGUUCGAGAUUGCCAUAAUGGAUGAGCUUUUUGGCUCAUUGUGCUUGCGAGACGAUCCUCGGAUUGGUUCUUUUCAAAGUCUGUUGGGAAGACGUAAACGCCAAUCUUCCCUGCCCGAUCAAUCUCAACACUGUUUUGGCCCCCCCUAAUACCUAAUACAAAGUCAGAGAUGGGGAAUCCUUUAGUUUAGAGACAAGUCUCAAAAUCGACUUGCAGGAAGGAUAGCCUACACCCUCUUUUCUGGACCUUCUUGUGAAAGUUUUCGGUAAGCUUUCACAGAGCAGAUGUUGUUCUCGACUGAAUCAACAAUGUUUUCCUUUUCCGCUAUAAUUCAAAGGCGUUCAUCUCCUUUUAGUCGACUAACUGGCGUUCCUCAAUUCAGAGACUGAGCCGGCUACCGUACUUCAUGCUUGCAGGAACAGCAGCACUACUAGGCAAUUAAUUAGCUGCCCCAUUCAUGCGCCCUCUAAACAACGAAAGCUACAACAUCAACGAAGGGAAUAGGCUUGCUUCUUCCUAGCGAUCGGGCGUUCCUCCCUCUUCCUGUUCACCGCCGGUUCGCCCACUGCUGCUUUCAUAGAUGUCGUGCGACGGGGUUCCUCCGCUAAUGGAUGCCUAUUCCGUUCUCCUGCUCCUGCUCCAGCUCAAGAGUUCAAACGGACAGAAGAGAGUCCUGCUACCGAAAAAAAAAGUGCAUAAUAUUGGAUUCAAACAAAGGGGAUUUAUUCACGAAUACGAUUUCUAUUGAUUGAAAGCUUUCCUAUUACUGAUGGCAGGCGGGCGAGACGGAGACCGCCGAAGAAGUGCCUUGACGCGCCGCAGCCACUACUUUGACUCCUUUUAUGCAAUUAUGUUAUGAACUCCACGGAACUUUCUCGAUUCCAACGCAACUUAUCCUUUUGGAGCUGACGUAAUAAACUAGGCGAGCCUCCCAACGAAGCCAACAUAAAUCCUAUCCGAAUAAAAAAAAUAAAAGGCAGUUUCAUUAUGGUGGUAUACCAACCUCCUGUUCUGGAACUUCCAGUUCCAAUCGAAGCAUAUAGAUCCGUAAAUAGAUUUGUAUGUAUAGCCACUUCAGCCGUGCUCGUCUUUUCUCGAAAGUAUUUUUUUCUGGGAACAUGGUUAACCAAAAAUGAUUAUGUUUGCGAUUCUUCAUCCACCAAUGCAUAAAAUGCUCAAGUUUUCCAUUCUUAUAUGAGGCCGGAAAGUUUAUUAGCAAGAGGUCGGCAUGAAGUGAUUCAUCAUGCUCAAACAUGAGCCGAUCGUUCGUUAGGGACGGUUUACAGAUCAUCAAAUUCCCACAAAUGGAAUGAGAAGUGGGUCCAUGUAAAUGAUCGAGACCUCGCAAACAACAACGCUCCUUCCCCAUAUGGAGUUCGGAACCCAAAGGCAAUUGUUGAGUGAACUGUAUCUUCUUUGUGUUAGUUGACCUCAGCCGCACCAUUACUGCUGGGGUGGGGCUCGGCCUCCAAACCGUACGUGGGACGAGUUUCUGCCUCAUACAGCUCGGGUCGAAGACCGGGGGAAGUUUAGGAGAGAUGAGGAGACCCAGCAGCUGCCGGUCGGGGCGGGGGUAAGCUUGUGAAGAAGCGAGCUUAUCCCCCCAAAAAAACCAAUCCUAUAGCGCUAGCGCUUCGCGUUCUUUCUAUUUUAUCUCAUUUCAUUCCGGGAUAGGCUAAUAAUACUAAUCUAAUAAGUGAAGUAGUCGUCGUCUGACCAAUUGACUCGGACACCAGACCGCUCGUGCCCGCCCAUUCUGUCUCGCCCUAAAUGGAAUGGCUUUCUUAGUUACGCUGCACCCCGCGACCCGAGUCCCCACGUCCGCUCUUCUCCGCCCGCAACCUAAAAAGUUGGCUUUGCCAACACAACAUUAGGGCUGUCCCCUUCAUUCUAUGCCGACCCCGGCCCGGAGCUGGCUUUUUGGGAAGCCCAUUCCCACCGCGCUCAUGGCCCGGCUGGCCUGCCAGAGGUAGUGGGAAUUAUCCCGUUCCCUGGUCAAAGACUUGGUUGGAUGCGGGAUCUACUCCACGAGGAGCGGUACGGACGUAGAUGAUAUCAUCACGACCUCUCUUUUCGUACCGCUAGGGAUGCUUAACGCCACUUCGCCAACUAGCGUUACCCGCGCUUUCGUAUCUCUCAGUGUGGUCAGCACUGGGUGUUUCCGAGCAGCGAAGCUUACACUCAUUCGCAUUAGUUCAUCCAAAGUUCCUUACCCUUAUGCACGAAUUUUUGAAUAAGCCAUCUUCCUAUCAAGGUUAAGGAGUCAACUGAGCAUCUCAGCGGCGGGAUUGAAUACCCGGAUCGAAUCAGAGUUCACGCCGCCCGCCCUGAACAAAUAGGAGGCGUGGGCCACAGGUCGCACAUAAGCUGCCGGGUCGCACGACAGAAGAACACCCAACAUACAGAUGCACACUCCUUCAUGUGAAAUAUUCAUCUUCAUUGGAACCUUUUGGUAGUAGUCGUGACCAACAGCCAUAGCCAUCAGCUGUCGGCUCCUUGGUAAGGCGAGAGCUUCAAGCCCGAUUUCUGGUGGCACGCCCCCCACACAAGCACCACCCAACUCAGGCGGGACGGGGAAAGCUAUAGGCCCAAAACCUUCGACCCUUCUUUCUAAAUCUAAAUGGGGGUGCCCGGAGCACCUCAUCUUGUCAUUUCAUCGUUGCUCAUUCCCGUUCGGCCGAAGUGUUUGGCCUUUCCUUCUCCGCGCCCGCUCACGCUUCGCUGACCUAUCGCGUGCUAAAAAGAGGAAAGUACGAAAGAAUAGUAAACAGAGCACACCGCAGAAAGAUUCUAAAUAUGAGAAGUCCCCCUUGGAUUCGAGAAGACGGAAAUGAAGAACGGGAAUGAAAAAAAAAUAAGGCCUUUCUAGCUCUAGUUUCGGAUGAGCUUCUCCCAAUUAUCUCUGGUAAUAGAAUAGGGCGACUUGCUCUGACCAAGACUCCACUUUUUGCUCCGUCCAUAGAGCGUAUGAUUUUCCUGGAAUGUAGAUAGACCAAAAGAGGGAAUGAAGAGAUAGGAAUAGGAAUUAUAGUACCAUUGGAAAAAGGGGCACCCGUGGGAACAUCUCUACUGACGAACCAUUUCAAUAGUACGGGUGCUGCCGUGACACAAGGCACGACCAUAAAAAGAAUCAAAAAGAAAAAGUUAUGUAGUUGGACCAUCUGCUCUAUCCGUUCGAGUUUGGCUUCUCUAAAGAAGAGAAGGCGCUAAAAAUGAAAAUGUUCGCAAGGCAUACCGAAAGGAUACCAAUGAAGCCAACCAUUAAUGACUAGUUCGAACACCAGGAGCGGAAGGAGGGACUUGAACCCUCAACCUUAGCCUUGGCAAGGCUAUGCUCUACCAUUAAGCUAUUUCCGCCAGCUAUGGUAGUGGCGACAGCACUACUGAGCAAUUCACGUAUUACUUGAUACGGACGACUUCCGUUUUUAUGCCGGACCACGCUCUUGACCUCCGAUCGAGCUACGAGCACGAGUAGGUAGGCGGCUAGGGGGGGGGGGCUGGGCUGGGAAGGAAGGUUUUUUUUCCCUCUUUUUGCUUCGCGCCAGAUGAGAUGAUGAUUAGUGGGUAAGGUCCAGUGUGUGCUCUUGAUCACAAUCACUAAAGAGGCGGGCUGGCUGGGCUGCCUUUUCAAUCAAUCUCCAGCCGCUCAGCGCCACUAUUGGAGUUGUAAGGAGUGAAGGUCUCGAGUCGAGCUGGGGCCUCAUUUAAUUCUCGUAACGUGCACCACAAGACCAGACAAGUGACUCCCUCGCCUCGCAGCUAGGCAUCUGUCUUUCUUUUUUUUAAGUUGAGUCAUUUCCUUUCCUAAGACGGCUCCUCUUAUUCUACGAUAAUCCAAGCAAAUGGGAUGAAAUGGUGACUAGGUGAGAAUCCGCGUUACACGCGGGUGUUAAUUUUGUACUUUUCUUUUUAAGUAUUUGGUGUAUAUACUUUUGGAGAUAUAUUUUUUGGGCAUUGAAAAAUAGUGAGUUAAACAUAUUAUACUUAAGAAAUUAUCAUGCCGAAUUUGAAUGACUUAUUCUAUGAUAUUCCAUAUAAUUGUUCUAUUUAAAUGAGAAUUCAAAGAAAUUUAUCCCACACAUUUGUAAGCAAUUUAUACCAGUUAUCCAAGACUCUCAUUCCUUGAUCAACUUCACGGAAAAUGUGGAUUUCCUAGGAGGAUGACUAUAACUUUCAAGAGUUUGCAUCUUGGACUUUCAACGUCUCAGUGAUUAUCAAAGCACCUGCAUUCCACUUGGGGUCAUUUAGAGACAUUAAUAUUUACUCAUUAAGUCUUUCAUCCACCUUCGCAAAUUUUUAGUCUCGACUCUUGGUAUUCUGAAAUCUGAUGAACAUUCUUACUUCUAUCUAUUCAGAAACUGAAUGUAGUAGUAGUACUAUAAGAGUUAGAUUGAAUAACGCUUACAAAUUUUAGGCAUGGUGUACGUAAGUAUGAAAAUCCUCCUUCAAUCUGCAUGAAUAGAGAGCAUUUCUCAGAUUUUGAGGUAGUUAAUUAAGACAUGUUUCCUAAUAAUAGAUCUCAAUGAGAAAGCUCAAUCAAUCACCUGCGCAUCAGUGUCUUUAGAAUUUUUUACUCUCUUAUUUCUUUCAUUGCUUAUCUUGAAUAAUGAUGAUAAAUCACGAUAUUUCAAUAGUCAAGUUUAAGCUAUAGCUUUUACCCAAAAAAAAGGUUAAACCCGAAGCCAUAAGAACAAACACAAGUCAUCAUAACACAAGUCCGGACAAGAGCAUUGGCGUAGUUUAGCUUUCUAGAAGUGCCUCUUUACAGCUACAAACAAUACGAAUGCUAACUCGAAAUGCUUUGCACAGAUAGUACAAUGGAUGAAGUAAUAGCAUUGUACAUUUGAAUCUUCAUACCUUUUCUUGAUUUCAUAUGUAAAUUCAUGUUCUUAUUGAUUUUCUAUAUGAAAUAAACCAAAAGCUAGCUAGCGGAGGAGUGGAAAAUUUUCAAUAACAAGGAAAAGGCAGAAGCGACUAACCUUGAGGGAUGAAGAACGAAUGAUGGUGCAGACUCUUACGUCGGAACCGAAUCAUAGGAAGAUUGGUGUUGUAUGCAGUCUCCAUAUAGGGGUCAAAUUAGCAUGGAAAACCAACACAUAACAUGGUUAAAAAAAGUGAAUUAAAAAGAGAAUCAAAUUGCAGGUUUGAGUUUGCACAUAUAUUGUAAUGAAAGAAUUCAGUUAGCAUAUCUACCUGUUUCGGUAUCUUAGAUUGAAUCAGCUCGGAAAUGAGGAGACAUCCACUUGGAUUUCACAAACUCUGCUCUCCUCCAUGGCGCCACAUGUAGGCUUUUAUUCUGGUAGUUCUUUGCUGCAGGCACAAUCUCUGAUUGUCAUCAUAAUUCAAUGUCUGUCAAUACUAUUUCACCUCUGAUUAUCACAUGUACAUACUAAUAUUCCCUGUUUCAUUUCAUAAAACAGGCACUAUAUUGUUAGGCUUCAUAGCAAUCUAUUCAAAGAGAUAUGGAAAGGACAAUGUGUGCAAACAACCCAUCACACUGUAAGACUCUCUGCCAGAAACGUAAAAGUGGAUUAUAUAAGUCUCUUCUCGUUCUCUCCUUUUGCAUCUCAUAACAUGCAACCAAAACAGAAGCAAGAUUUCGAGUUUAACUAUUAGAGAUUUAUAGUGUACCAGCUGGACAAGAAGUCGAUUUCCCCGAGACAGAUUUGCAUAGAGACACAUCAUAUCAUAUUCGCUAGAAUCCUUUAGAAUCGGCCACAUUAAUAAAGGAUGACUCGUCCUUAAGCUUUCAAGUUCUUAUUUGUUUCCACAAUCUUUGUCGCAACACUCCUACAACGGACCAAAUUCUACAAAUUCAAUUUUCUUAUAUAAGCUAAUCUGUUUUCCCUUGAUCCAACAAACGUAGAGUCAUGAAAAAUUGAUGAAUCAUACCUUUAGGAUUUAAAAAGCUUCGCCAUUGUCAUCGACGAUGAAAUGCAGAACCAUCUUCGCUGAAUUACUUCUUGAAAGUUUUGUAGAAGCUUUCUUACAGGAGAAUUAAAAAGGGAUGACAAAUUCAUCACCCAUAAUUAUUAAUCCAACAGAAGUUGUACAGGCAACAGAAAAACGAAGGUUUCAGAGAAAUUGGAAUUCCGUUUGGAAAUUGCAAAACGCUUAAGAAAUAAAAAAAAAAGGAAGCGCAAGAGUGGAAUUUGGGUGUACACGUGGCAGUCUUUCAUGUGCUGACGUGGCACAAAUCUGGAGAAAGUUACCCAAGUUUUAUAUUAUAGACUAGGAGAGAACCUGCGCGUAUACGCGGUUUUAUUUAAUUUAUAUUUUAAAUUAUACAUUUUAAAAACUUUUAUUAAAUUUUAUUUUUAUUAUAAAUAUUUUUGCCUUUAAAAUAUUUAUAUUUUCUUUGAUUUUUUAUAACAUAUUAUUUGUAAUUAUUAUACACCAGUUGUAAUAAAGAAUUAAAAACCUAAUAUUUAAUUUCUGUAUAAAAAUAUAAUAGUUCACAUAUUUUUAUAAGUUGAAUACUAGAGAGCAAUAUUUAUUUGUUCUUCCAUCUUCAUAUUUUUUUAUUGUUGUAAAUCCUACUAAUAUAAUAUUUGUCAACUUUCUCAAUAUACAAUUUUGAGUUUUUUUGUUAUAUAUAUUUUAUUGAUUCCUGGUUUUUUUGUACAAAAAAAACAAUUUAUGACAUUUUUAUAUAUCCAUUCUUCUUUUUACUAUUAUUUUUUAUAUUUUUUAUCUUUUUAAUCAUUUAUUAAUUUUUAUGUUUUAUAAAUUUAUUAGUUAGAGUUUUACAUAAUAUUAUUUGAAAUUUCUUAAUAUAUUCAGUUUUAUAAUUUUUUUCACUUGCAUUAAAAUUUAAUUAUUUUUUAGUUUAAAAAUGAAAUUUAAAUCAUUUAACAAAAGAAAAUAGAAUGGUGCAUUUAAAAAGUUUUGUAUUAUAUAAUAUUUAUAAGUUGUAUUAUAUUUAAAUUAAAUUUUAAUUAGUUUAUUAUAUAAAUUUAUUUAUAUACAUAUUAUUUAUUUAUAUUCUUUAAUGUGUUUCUUUAAAAUUCAUUAAUUAUUUUUUAAUUAAGAUUGUAAAUGGACAUGUGUCACUCUCUCCAAUGCUGAUGUGGCAUUCAGAUGGAGAAAGUUGAUUGUAUUAUAUAUACUAAGUGAAUAUCCGCACGUUACGUGUAGGUUUUUCUUUUCAAAAUUUUUAAACUUUUUUUUAUAUUUUUAUAAAAAUUAAUAUAAUCAUUACUUGUUACCUAUUACUUGUUAAUAUUUUAUUCUAAAAAAUUAUAAAAUAUUAAUACAUAUUGAAUAUUAUUUAAUAAUUUAAAGUUAUAUUAAGAUUAAAAAAUAUCAUUCAAAAACUUUUAAUUAGUUAUAACAUAAAUUUUUGUUUAACAUUUACAGAAAUAUUAAUUGAUAGUCAAUUAAUUUAAAAAAUAAAAUUUAUAUAAUCAUCAUUUCAUUUGUUACUUGUCAGUAUUUUAUUAUAAAUAAUUUUAAAAAAAUAAUUUAAAAUACAUCUUGAAUAUUAUUAAGUAAUCUAAAUAUUAUUAAGUAAUCUACAAUUAUAUAAAAAUUAAAUACAUAUCUAUCAAUAUUUUUAAUUAGUUAUAACAUAAAUUUUUGUUUAACAUUAAUAUAAAUUUUAAUUAAGAGUCAAUUAAUAAACCAAACUUUUCAUAUUCUUUAAAUGUUUUAAAAUUUAAUAUUAAAAUUUAUUAAUUAAAAUUUAAAGACAGAUGUCAAUCUAUCCUAUGCUGAUAUGUCAAUGAUAUGCUAAAAGUUGAGCAACUUUUUUAUAUAUAAGAUAUUAUGUUGUUUUAGUAUAAUAAAGGGCCAAAAAUAAAAAAUUUGUGUUUCCGGUUUAGCCUCUCUCAACAUGUUGAAUCCAUGAUGGACGGACACCUACCCAAAUCUUUUUACCACUGGCCCAACCCAACGUUGGUAAAUUAAAUAUGAAUGUUUAAUGUUUAAGAAACUUGCAGGCCUUUCAUCUCUUAUAAGUGGAGCAACACCAAUAGCAAUAUAUUUUGUGAAAUUUGUAAAGUGACCGAGUAUAUAAAAAUAUCGACUCCAGGGUGUCUAGUUAUAUUUCUUUUUAGAGAGUUUUUAUCCUCUCUCUCUCUUCUCUCAUCUCCAUCUUUGAGAAGAGAGAGAGUUUUUCUCUCUUUUUUUGAUGUAUAUACUUCCGAUUAAUAUCGGAUCUUCCUUCCGUGUAUAAUGGAUAAUAAUUUCGACUUGAUCGGAUUUGUUUUAUUCCGUUUAUCAGAGUUCUUUUUCUUCUAUGUUUGAUUCCUUCUUCUUAUGUAGUAAAAUCCAACACCAAUCCUUAGUGGAGUGAAGGAUUUUAUCAAAUUAGAGGAAUCUUUGAUCUUCUUGUGUUAAAGUUAAGGUUUUCUGAUUUAUCGGAUGUUUUAUGCCCAUUCUCCUCUACAAUUGGUUCCUCUUGUAUAUGAGGCGGUGGUGAUUGGAUCUGGAGGUAAGAGUUGGAAGUCUUCUUCUUCAAUUACUAGUAUCAUCUUUUCUGGGCUGGGAUUGGAAUCUCCCUAAGUCCCCUAUUUUAAAGCCUUCUUCAAGGUAUGGGUGACAUGUCCUGAGUAUAGAUGAUUGGCGAUGAUUCAAAUGAAGGAUUAGAGUUUCUGCUCAAUUACUCUCUGGAUCUUAUUGAGGAGGAAACAAUAGGUGAAGAAGCAGCAAUUUGAGGAGGAUGAUAGAUCUGAUUGGAGUUAACCUAUGGUUUUGAACUCUUCGGAUUAUCGAUUUUCCGGCGAAGCUCUGUAUCGUCGAUGAGAUCGGCGGCAUCUUCUAACCAUUAAUCGGCGUUCACCCCAAUUAUGCUGCGUGUGUAACACGUGUUCUUUAAUUAUCGAUCCUUAUCUUUUAUUGUGGGCUAUAUAUGGGUUGAUAUUUUGGGCUUUAAUGUGUAAGGAUUGGGGCCUCAAAUCUUGCUGUAAUUUGCUUAUUGUUGGGCUUUCUUUAAUAAAAGAUUGGACGACAAAAAAAAAAGUUAUAUUUCUUUUUUUUAUGGAAAAAUAAAACUACAGACGAUUUUAUUAUGAAAACAGCGAAGUUUACAAGUCAAACACAGAGACAAUAAAAUAUGAAACUUUAUUCCCAUUGUUUGGUCCUAAUAUAUCCUGCCCCUUUAGUAUAUUUAAGGCUCUUAUUUCAUUACAAAUGAUACAGAUGAGACUUCUUUUUCGUUAAGUGUGAGAAUCUCAAGCUGAAACUCAGACAAAACCUACAAAGUCAAUAAAAAUCCGGAGUUUUCUUACCACUACAUAUACGGAUAACCAUCAUAACUGAAAUCGCAGUAGACUCUCACUGGGGGAGCACUCGAAUUAUGACCUAGACCCACACAGCGAAUCCUAACAACCAUUGGAUCAAGAUAAGGUAGUUAUACGGAGAAGACCUACACCCUCCACCGUAUCCUCGGCCGUGUCCGCCGUCUCCUCCGUAGCUCUGUUGAUCAGGGUGCAGUGUCUCCUCACUCUCUGACUUCA
rnacentral:lncRNA from 1 species